rnacentral:rRNA from 1 species
AGAGUUUGAUCAUGGCUCAGGACGAACGCUGGCGGCGUGCUUAACACAUGCAAGUCGAGCGGAAAGGCCCUUCGGGGUACUCGAGCGGCGAACGGGUGAGUAACACGUGAGUAAUCUGCCCCUAGCUCUGGGAUAGCUCCGGGAAACCGGGAUUAAUACCGGAUACGACCACCUUAGACAUCUUUUGUGGUGGAAAGAAUUUCGGCUAGGGAUGAGCUCGCGGCCUAUCAGCUUGUUGGUGGGGUAACGGCCUACCAAGGCGACGACGGGUAGCCGGCCUGAGAGGGCGACCGGCCACACUGGGACUGAGACACGGCCCAGACUCCUACGGGAGGCAGCAGUGGGGAAUAUUGCGCAAUGGGCGAAAGCCUGACGCAGCGACGCCGCGUGGGGGAUGAAGGCCUUCGGGUUGUAAACCCCUUUCAGCAGGGACGAAGCGAAAGUGACGGUACCUGCAGAAGAAGCGCCGGCUAACUACGUGCCAGCAGCCGCGGUAACACGUAGGGCGCAAGCGUUGUCCGGAAUUAUUGGGCGUAAAGAGCUCGUAGGCGGUCUGUUGCGUCCGCUGUGAGAACUCGGGGCUUAACCCCGAGCCUGCAGUGGAUACGGGCAGACUAGAGGUAGGUAGGGGAGAAUGGAAUUCCCGGUGUAGCGGUGAAAUGCGCAGAUAUCGGGAGGAACACCGGUGGCGAAGGCGGUUCUCUGGGCCUUACCUGACGCUGAGGAGCGAAAGCGUGGGGAGCGAACAGGAUUAGAUACCCCCGUAGUCC